GCGCAUUUGGUCUAGUGGUAUGAUUCUCGCUUUGGGUGCGAGACAUCCCGAGUUCGAUUCUCGGAAUGCCCC
rnacentral:tRNA from 1 species